AGUCUAUGAUGAUCCUAUCCCGAAUCUGAAUUUCUGUUGAAAAAACUUAACUUACGGAUCUGGCUUCUGAGAU
rnacentral:snoRNA from 1 species